rnacentral:misc_RNA from 1 species
GAUGAAGAACGCAGCGAAAUGCGAUACGUUAUGUGAAUUGCAGAAUUCAGUGAAUCAUCGAAUCUUUGAACGCAUAUUGCGCUCUCUGGUAUUCCGGAGAGCAUGCUUGUUUGAGUAUCAGUAAACACCUCAACUUCCAUAUCUUUUUUGAAAUGGGAGUUGGACUUGAGUGAUCCCAACGCUUUUCCUCACCGAAAAGUGGCGGGUUACUUGAAAUGCAGGUGCAGCUGGACUUUUCUCUGAGCUAUAAGCAUAUCUAUUUAGUCUGCCUAAAAAACAGAUUAUUACCUUUGCUGCAGCUAACAUAAAGGAGAUUAGUUCUUGUGCUGACUGAUGCAGGAUUCACAAAGACAGGCUUCGGCCGACUUUGUAAACUCGAUCUCAAAUCAAGUAAGACUACCCGCUGAACUUAAGCAUAUCAAUAAGCGGAGGA